rnacentral:rRNA from 1 species
UACGGGGGGGGCAAGCGUUGUUCGGAAUUACUGGGCGUAAAGGGCUCGUAGGCGGCCAACUAAGUCAGACGUGAAAUCCCCAGGCUUAACCUGGGAACUGCGUCUGAUACUGGAUGGCUUGAAUUCGGGAGAGGGAUGCAGAAUUCCAGGUGUAGCGGUGAAAUGCGUAGAUAUCUGGAGGAAUACCGGUGGCGAAGGCGGCAUCCUGGACCGGCAUUGACGCUGAGGAGCGAAAGCCAGGGGAGCAAACGGG